rnacentral:rRNA from 1 species
UACGGAGGAUCCAAGCGUUGUCCGGAUUCAUUGGGUUUAAAGGGUGCGUAGGCGGACUACUAAGUCAGAGGUGAAAUCUUGCGGCUCAACCGUAAAAUUGCCUUUGAAACUGGUAGUCUUGAGUUCGGUCGAGGUGGAUGGAAUGUGUCAUGUAGCGGUGAAAUGCUUAGAUAUGACCCAGAACACCAAUUGCGAAGGCAGUUCACUAGACCGAUACUGACGCUGAGGCACGAAAGCGUGGGGAGCGAAC